AAAAGGAGGAGGCAGUGAGAUGGAUGAAGGUGGAAGUUCUCAGCAUUUCUCCUAUCAAAAGAGACCGGAGCACACCAGUGAAGAGAGUUCAGAUGUAGAUGAAGAGAGCAAGGAAGCAAGACUGGCUCUGAGGAAAAGGGGAAAACCAAAGUGGCCAAAGCAAAGGGUGAGAUGUUUUAAGCUUUAAAUGUAUUUAAAAUUUUCUGUUUGCAGUAUAUGAAUCAGGUUGUAGACAUGACUUUAUUUCCUUAUAGUUUUGUCCUCUGUGGCAGAAUAUAUGCCUACACAAAGACAAAACUCUUGAUAAUAUUGAUCCAGAAUUAUUUCAUUGGCAAGUAGACAUAAAUUAAUAAAAAUAUUUAAAUAUCGCUUCACAUUGAGUUGAAGAGGAGAAUGCAGGCA
ensembl:lncRNA